CUGAUGCAGAAUGGAGACUGGACCUUCCAGAUCCUGGUGAUGCUGGAAAUGACCCCCCGGAGUGGGGACGUCUACACCUGCCAGAGGCAAAGUCGGACUCAGCCAGGAGAAAGAUGCUGACGGGGAUUGGGGGCUUCAUGAUGGGGCUGAUCUUCCUGGCACUGGGACUCCUCGUCUACCUAAGGAACAAGAAAGGUGAGUGCGGCAUGGAUGGGGUGGUGGAACUAGGGCUGGACCUGGGGGCCUGGCUGGAGGCUCCCCUCUCUCUCAGCUCCCAGCAGGUUCUGCCUUGGAAUAUGGCAGGAGCUUCCCACCUUCUUGUGUCCUGGGGCCGGGAUGGAUCCCACUGUCCCUCCCUCCUCUGAGGGGCAGGACAAAGCAGGGGCCAUGGGUAGGCAGAGCUGCCACUGCCUUAUCUCAGGGCAUUUCCUAUCCUCUGCUGCAAGGCAGUGACCCUGGGUUAGGAGGGGACAGGUCCAAUAGGGUUGGGGCACCUGGGUGUAACACACUGUGCGACUUCAUGGUGAUGUAAUAUUGGGGGGUCCCUCAGCUCCAUACCUUUCUCCUCUAUUCUGCUGUUGCUUGUCUGCUGGGACAGACCAAGAUUGUCCUUGGAGAAAACUUGCUAUCUUAGUUCCAGCGGCCCUCGGCCCAGACCUUGCUGCUCCAGCAGAGGAAGCUUUGCCAGCUGGUGGGUCAGCCUGUUUGUGUUCAGUGCAAUAUAAUUUAUGUCUUCAGCCUUUCAGCCUUGCAGGUGCAAAAGGCCUGCAGGUGUCAGUUUUUCUGGAUUCACCCUUAACCCUGAUAAUCGGUGAGGGAUGUGGAAAAGGCGGAGGAUUGUCUCACCUACAACAGAGCCUGAAAGAAAAUAUACCCCUUGGUUUUGAAAGGCAGAGUGGAGAAUAACAGACCAUUCCUGGAGUCAGGAGAUGGGGAGAAGGAGGGAGAGAGGACUGCUCGUGGCCCUGACCACUCUGAGGUCCAUGCAACUUUCACUUGCACUUUCAGUUUUGCCUUUGAAGCAGCAGAAGCUGCUCUUACCGUAUGCCUCACAUAUAAUGCUCAGCACUAUAUCCAGCAACUGUUUUUUUUUAAGGGAAAAUGGUCAUGGUGUGAGAGAAAUGACAGUAUCUUGUUUUAUCCAAGCUGUUCAGAAUCUGUUUCUUCAUCCAAGUCUUCCCUCCACUGCCACCUAGUUCCUAAACUUUGAAUUACUGAUAUUACUGGAAAACACAAGUGUGUCAUGUGAAUAAGGUAACUGUCCUUCUGACAGUCAGGGCUUCUCCAAAACAUGCUUAGCCAUUCUUUGGUCUAGGGCUGUUCCUGACCCUUGAUUCUGUCCGUACCUCCCUGCCUAUCUUGGCUAAUAAUAAAAAUACAAACUGUCCUGGCUGACCCUGUGGUUCACACAUGUGUAACCAUGCCAGAACUGAUCAUAGCUUUUCAUUCUCUCUUAAUGGAGAGCAAACUGCAUAGGUUCAGUUCAGGGAAAUAUCUAGACAUCCACACAGUGACUCCCUAUAUCCAGCCCUGCUUUUGGCAAGACAGCAAUGUGGGCUUUGAAUGAGGGAUUUGGGCUCCCUAAGGAGGUGUGCUCCAUUUCUCAAGCCUUGGGCAGGAGCUUUGAUCUCUAAGGAAUGGACUGCCGCUGCCCAGACUCUGACUGUUUCUCCUUGUUUUCCAGGCCAGCCUGUUCCCCAACCAAUAGGUAAUUUCCAUCUCAUCCUACCCCAAUGAAGCACCCUUUCCCUCAGGGACCAUGGGUUGCAUGAGGUGUUCAUGAAGUGGCUGAUGCUGCCCCUUCACCCUGGCACUUUCCCAGCCCAACCUGGGUGGGAGCUGGAACAUGGAACAUUUUCAGUGAGGAAGAGGAGGAGUCUCCAUCUCCCUCAUCGCCACUAUUCAGGGCUCUUCAGUUAGAUCCUGCAGCUUCGGGCUUGCAUUGUCCAGUGUCAUUUUCUAGGUGGGGUCUCCUGGCACCUGUCCCUGUGUCUGGAGCUCUUCUCACUUUCCCUGUAUUGUCACCUGGACUGCUGUGGCUGACUCGUCUCUGUCUAAGCCUGCACCACAUCUGCACUCCCCAGUGCUACUGCUUUUGGGUGAUCUUCAAGGGACUCUCAUCUGACACAUGUGGGGAGCUGUAACAAGGCUGUUGGCUGUGACAACUGCUGCAUGUAAGAAUUAACCUCCCCUGGGGCCUUUGACUAAAGCUAAUUUUCCAUAGAAAUGACCAGCAUGGCUCUCAUCAGCUUGGGGGGUGGAAACGUGUCACAAGAUGGAGGCACUCAAUGUUGCCCAGGAAAUACAUGCUACAUCCUGUCGCAAAGCUAGUCCUAGUGGGUCUCUGAGUUUUUGGUCACUUUGUUCCAAUUGAGAGCAGUCCCUGGCAGGGUCAGCUUGUAGCAGUGGUCGGGGUGCUUGGGGUGGCCCAUGGGGCUGUUGGAUGGAAAGAGUUGGGGCUGGGCCAGUUGCAUUGAAACAUGGGAUGGAGUUUGUGCUGUUGUAAUUGCUGCCACUACCACUCUGGAUCACUCCUUUGGCAGCUUUCUGUCCUGCUGGGGGGU